UCUAAGGUCUAUGAACUGUCACCAUUUGUGUGUGAGGGAGCCACGUCAUGGCCUGAAGAGAGUUUGUUGGUGAUAAGACGGUAAUGUUUAACAUCGUCAUUAGUUAAAGUGAUCAUCUCAUUGUCCAGCAGAGUACUGGAUGGACAGACCUGGGUUCUGCCAGUGAGAUGCAACUCCUAGUAAGGAGACGGAAGAAGGCACUGCUCUCCAGACAGUGGUGGCAUGUGAUGUGGAGGCUCUGGCCGAUGUGAACUUUAGAAGGACCUGUCUCACUGAGCUCUCCUCUGGCUUCUUGGAUUCAGGCAGCUGUGACCUUGGCCAUGGUUUUCUGUAUGUUCUUGUUGCACAGUUGAAACACCACUACUGCAGCAUGGCUUUGAGAUCCAGCCACAGGCCACUGAUAGCUAAUAAAUAUUCUGGCUUUGUCCUUUCAUAA